rnacentral:rRNA from 1 species
GGCUCAGAUUGAACGCUGGCGGCAUGCUUUACACAUGCAAGUCGAACGGUAACAGGUUAAGCUGACGAGUGGCGAACGGGUGAGUAAUGCAUCGGAACGUGCCCGAUCGUGGGGGAUAACGCAGCGAAAGCUGCGCUAAUACCGCAUACGAUCUGAGGAUGAAAGCGGGGGACCGUAAGGCCUCGCGCGAUCGGAGCGGCCGAUGUCAGAUUAGGUAGUUGGUGGGGUAAAGGCUCACCAAGCCGACGAUCUGUAGCUGGUCUGAGAGGACGACCAGCCACACUGGGACUGAGACACGGCCCAGACUCCUACGGGAGGCAGCAGUGGGGAAUUUUGGACAAUGGGGGAAACCCUGAUCCAGCCAUUCCGCGUGUGCGAUGAAGGCCUUCGGGUUGUAAAGCACUUUUGGCAGGAAAGAAAUCGCAUCAAUUAAUACUUGGUGUGGAUGACGGUACCUGCAGAAUAAGCACCGGCUAACUACGUG